AUUGAACGCUGGCGGCAUGCUUUACACAUGCAAGUCGAACGGCAGCGCGGGCUUCGGCCUGGCGGCGCGUGGCGCACGGGUGAGAAAAACAACGGAAUGUGCCCAGUUGUGGGGGAUAGCACGGCGAAAGCCGGAUUAAUACUACAUACGACCUGAGGGUGAAAGCGGGGGAUCUUCGGACCUUGCGCUAUUGUAGCGGUCGAUGCCCGGGUAGCUAGUUGGUGGGGUAAAGGCCUACCAAGGCGAGUAUCGGCAGCUGGACUGAUAGGGCGACCACCCGCACUGGAACUGAAACACGGCCCAGAGUCCUACGGGAGGCCGCAGUGGGGAAUUUUAGACAAUGGUCGAAAGCCUGAUACAGCAAGGCCGCGUGUGUGAUGAAGGCCUUCGGGUUGUAAAGCACUUUUGGCGGGAACGAAAAGGACUGUGCCAAUACCACGGUUCGAUGACGGUACCCGCAGAAGAAGCACCGGCUAACUACGUG
rnacentral:rRNA from 1 species